rnacentral:misc_RNA from 1 species
GAUGAAGAACGUAGCGAAAUGCGAUAAGUAGUGUGAAUUGCAGAAUUCAGUGAAUCAUCGAAUCUUUGAACGCACAUUGCGCCCCUUGGUAUUCCAUGGGGCAUGCCUGUUCGAGCGUCAUUGCUGCCCUCAAGCACGGCUUGUGUGUUGGGCCCCGUCCUCCGAUUCCGGGGGACGGGCCCGAAAGGCAGCGGCGGCACCGCGUCCGGUCCUCGAGCGUAUGGGGCUUUGUCACCCGCUCUGUAGGCCCGGCCGGCGCUUGCCGAUCAACCCAAAUUUUUAUCCAGGUUGACCUCGGAUCAGGUAGGGAUACCCGCUGAACUUAAGCAUAUCAAUAAGCGGAGGA